UUCCAGCCCACAAAGACACCACUAUGUUUAGUUUAAUUGGUGAUUCCUUACAUGUGAAGUGACUUCUAAAUAACAUGUACUUACUUCUUCAAAUAGUUAAACUUUUCUGGAGAAUUUACAAAGGAGGGGACUGAUAUCAUCUUAAAAAAGAAAAGCUGGUAUUGUUACAUUGCUUCCAUAAACUAGAUAUUGUGGCCUGGCAAAAGAAAGCUUUAUGAAUGUGUAUGCAAAAUCCUAAAAGAAACUUAACAUUGAAAUAAUGCAUUAUGAUCAAGAGAAAAUUUAUCCUAAAGUGAGCUGGGCCAUGUUAAUUUAGUUAAAAAACACUUAAGAGGAUUAUGAAAGAUUUUAAAACUUGAAUAGAAAUGAUGCAAGAAACUGAAGUCUACUUCAUUAUACUCCACUUGAACUUCUCAGUGCUUUGAGUAUGGCGUUGGGAGUACUGGGAAAUGAAAUGAACCUCCUAACAAGAAGCAGCAAUCCUUCGAUCCGGUAAUACUGAGGCAAGAGAAAGGAAGUGCACUAAGGUUUACCCCAUUCAGGUCAGAACUCUUUAAAAUGUUCUAUGAUUUCAAUUCACCACUUCUGUGUCCAGGUGAGCCUCUCUCACAGGGGCUUCUUGGUGGAGCAGUAAUGGAUCUCUACAGUUCACUUGUCUACGUAGAGAUCGUGUUGUACCUGGCAGUAUUCUCCACUGUCCUUCAGAAACUCCAUAAAUGUGUGACCAAGAACUGAGGAAUAUGUCUACUCAUUGAAGAUUGUGGCCUAAUCAUACAGCUGGUUCUGAGGUGGUCGCGAGGUGGACGUUGGCAGCAGCGGGGGCACCAGGUGACCAUGCACCGAGCGGGCAAGAGAGUGUCGUGGACCAGCGCAGCCAGGCAGCCAGGCAGCCAAUACUUGUGCUGGGCCUAGUCCUAUACACCCUUAAUCCCAGUAUUACACACCCAUGAUCCAGCCACCUCUUGAAGCCCCACCUAUGAGCUCAUGAGGCUUUGGGGGAACACCUAGAUAUGAUCUAUAACAGCUACCAAAAGCAGAAACUCCAAGGGGGAAAAUUAACAAGUUGGCUAUUUUUAAAACUCAAAAUGAUCUGUUUAAUUUUUGAAAAUUUGUAAGCCCAGUUUAAAGAAAAAUGCCAAAUGUCAAAUAUGUCAAAAUGUCAUAUAUGUCAAGUAGCCUCAAAUGAAAAGAGCACUUAUACAUUUUUAAAAA
ensembl:lncRNA